UGCCCAGUGACAUAGUUAAACGGCCGCGGUACUCUGACCGUGCUAAGGUAGCAUAAUCAUUUGCCUCUUAAUUGGUGGCUAGUAUGAAUGGACACACGCAAGCGCUGCUGUCUCAUUAAUAUAAAUAAAAAUUAACCUUCAAGUGAAGAGACUUGAAUAAAAUAAAAAGACAAAAAGACCCUAUGGAGCUUUAUUCAACCGCCCUGCAAUCUAAUAUUUAUAAAAUUUUCUACAGCGCUAAUGAAUUCAGUUGGGGCGACUAAGGAAAACAAUAAAUCUUCCUUCACAUAAAGAAAAUAAUUCUCUCAAAGAUCCGCUAUGCGAAUACAGAUCCAGCUACCCUAGGGAUAACAGGCUAAUUCUUCUCGAGAGCCCAAAUUGACAGAAGAGAUUG
rnacentral:rRNA from 1 species